rnacentral:lncRNA from 1 species
UGGGAUAAGAUUUUUAUAUGCAUUUUUGAUAUUUUCACAUGAUUUUUUUUCACAUGAAUAUACAGUGAGUCUUACUUUCGUGUAAGAAAAAAUAAUGUAAAAAUAUCAAAAAACACAUAAAAAUAAUGCUUCCCUUAUGAGAUUUCUAUCUUCGCAAUUUCACUAAUCUUCUCUCUCCUCGUAUCUCAUCCUUCUAACAUUUCUUCUUCCCCUUUUUUCUCUCUGCAAAACCUAUCACAAAACUUAAACCCCUUCGACUCAAAAGCAAGAGCCCACUCGCCCCUGUCUUUCCUUCUUUAGAAGAUUGCCCACCAGAAUCGGAAGAUGAAAUCUUCAUCGCAUAUUACACUCUAAAGUGAGAGAGGGUUUUGAUAAUUGAGGGGCAAAACAUGACAAGAUGAAUUGAGAAAUCUG